GACGAACGCUGGCGGCGUGCUUAACACAUGCAAGUCGAACGGUGAAGCAGAGCUUGCUCUUUGGAUCAGUGGCGAACGGGUGAGUAACACGUGAGUAACCUGCCCUUGACUCUGGUAUAAGCGUUGGAAACGACGUCUAAUACUGGAUACGACGACCUAAGGCAUCUUCUGGUUGUGGAAAGAAUUUUGGUCAAGGAUGGACUCGCGGCCUAUCAGCUUGUUGGUGAGGUAAUGGCUCACCAAGGCGACGACGGGUAGCCGGCCUGAGAGGGUGACCGGCCACAAUGGGACUGAGACACGGCCCAGACUCCUACGGGAGGCAGCAGUGGGGAAUAUUGCACAAUGGGAGCAAGCCGGAUGCAGCAACGCCGCGUGAGGGAUGACGGCCUUCGGGUUGUAAACCUCUUUUAGUAGGGAAGAAGCGAAAGUGACGGUACCUGAAGAAAAAGCACCGGCUAACUACGUG
rnacentral:rRNA from 1 species